UGGGGAAUAUUGCACAAUGGGCGCAAGCCUGAUGCAGCCAUGCCGCGUGUGUGAAGAACGCCUUCGGGUUGUAAAGCACUUUCAGCGGGGAGGAAGGCGAUAAGGUUAAUAACCUUGUCGAUUGACGUUACCCGCAGAAUAAGCACCGGCUAACUCCGUGCCAGCAGCCGCGGUAAUACGGAGGGUGCAAGCGUUAAUCGGAAUUACUGGGCGUAAAGCGCACGCAGGCGGUCUGUCAAGUCGGAUGUGAAAUCCCCGGGCUUAACCUGGGAACUGCAUUCGAAACUGGCAGGCUAGAGUCUUGUAGAGGGGGGUAGAAUUCCAGGUGUAGCGGUGAAAUGCGUAGAGAUCUGGAGGAAUACCGGUGGCGAAGGCGGCCCCCUGGACAAAGACUGACGCUCAGGUGCGAAAGCGUGGGGAGCAAACAGG
rnacentral:rRNA from 1 species